CCUACGGGUGGCUGCAGUGGGGAAUAUUGGACAAUGGGCGAAAGCCUGAUCCAGCCAUGCCGCGUGUGUGAAGAAGGCCUUCGGGUUGUAAAGCACUUUCAGUGGGGAAGAAAGCCUUGGGGCUAAUACCCUCGAGGAAGGACAUCACCCACAGAAGAAGCCCCGGCUAACUCCGUGCCAGCAGCCGCGGUAAUACGGAGGGUGCGAGCGUUAAUCGGAAUUACUGGGCGUAAAGCGCGCGUAGGCGGUCUGAUAAGCCGGUUGUGAAAGCCCCGGGCUCAACCUGGGAACGGCAUCCGGAACUGUCAGGCUAGAGUGCAGGAGAGGAAGGUAGAAUUCCCGGUGUAGCGGUGAAAUGCGUAGAGAUCGGGAGGAAUACCAGUGGCGAAGGCGGCCUUCUGGACUGACACUGACGCUGAGGUGCGAAAGCGUGGGUAGCAAACAGGAUUAGAUACCCUUGUAGUC
rnacentral:rRNA from 1 species